rnacentral:misc_RNA from 1 species
AACGUAUUUUGUAAUGCUAUUCCUACAUUUUAAUUCGAAGUUUGCGAGUAGUUGAAUUAUUUUGAUUGAUUCACAUCGAUUUGAUCAUGGAUUCAAAGAAAGGCAGUCCAAAUGCAAGAAGGGCGAAGCGGAGUAGCAAGCAAAUUGAAGAAAAUUACUGGGACUGCAGUGUCUGUACCUACAGAAAUAAUGCAGAGGCAUUUAAAUGUUCAAUGUGUGAUGUAAGAAAAGGAACCUCAACCAGGAAACCAAGGCUCAAUCCUCAGUUGGUACCUCAAGUGUUCAAUCCUUCCUUAGCUAACAAAAAUAGAAAAGAGAAGGAAUCUAAAGAAAGAGAUAAAUCUGAGAGGAAAUCAUCAGAUGGAAACCCCACCAGGAACAGUAAAGCCAGACCAAGGUUGAAAAAUGUUGACAGAAGCACUGCAAUGCACAAAGAAGUGACAGUGAACAAUGUGACAGUAGUCAUUACUGAGUUUCGGCCAAAAAUUAGCAGCAAGUCAACAUCUCCCAGUAACCUUGAUCUGGAUGCUGGACACACGACCAGUAGUUCUAGCAGUAGUGCCAGCAAUCACGGCAACGAUCUUUCCCCUGCAGAUCAAGAACAUUCAGACUGACUAAAGUCGUUGCUCGUGAUUCAUUUUUUAAUUAUUAUUUAGCAUCUCGAGGCUAUAAUUUGGUCCCAACCGAAUUUCAAUGAGAUAGAACUGGAGCGACAGACGUCCAAACCGAAAACUAUACAUGAAAAACCAAGAGGCAGUUGUCUAUAACUAUUCUGGAUUCAAAGUUUUUCCCUUUUUUUUUUGUAACCACAAAAUUCCAUAAUGUUGGAGAUUAUUUUUGAGUGUUGGGAAUUCCUGUUUCUGAUCGGAUCUCAGUACCAAUAUUCGCUUCCCUUUUUCGGUUUGAACCUACCUCAUCUGAACGGUGCGAAGAGGUCGGGGAAGAUUUGGUAAAAAAUUGAUUAUGUCUGUCGAGUGGAUGGUUUUCGUUUCGUGAUAAAUGUGCGCUCUCAUCCAUCUUUAUAAUUUCACCCUCCUCAUCCACGACAAGUAAAUACACAGCUGUACAAUUUGA